UCGGGAAUUUUGCUCAAUGGGGGAAACCCUGAAGCAGCAACGCCGCGUGCGGGAUGAAGGCCUUCGGGUUGUAAACCGCUUUUACCAGGGACGAUAAUGACGGUACCUGAUGAAUAAGUCACGGCUAACUACGUGCCAGCAGCCGCGGUAAUACGUAGGUGACUAGCGUUGUCCGGAUUUACUGGGCGUAAAGAGCGCGCAGGCGGUCGUUCAAGUCGAGUGUGAAAGCCCCCGGCUCAACUGGGGAGGGUCAUUCGAUACUGAUCGACUUGAAGGCAGGAGAGGGAAGCGGAAUUCCCGGUGUAGUGGUGAAAUGCGUAGAUAUCGGGAGGAACACCAGUGGCGAAGGCGGCUUCCUGGCCUGUUCUUGACGCUGAGGCGCGAAAGCUAGGGGAGCAAACGGG
rnacentral:rRNA from 1 species